AUGUCGAAUAAAAUUCUGGGUAGAAUUAUGAUGAUGACAGUUUACCCAUGCUUGACCAAAUUACGUGCCAGCAGUCGCGGUAAUACGUAAAAGACUAGUGUUAUUCAUCUUUAAUAGGUUUAAAGGGUACCUAGACGGUAAAUAAAGCCGGACUAAUAUACUAGAGUUACUUAUGAGGGGGAAGUACUGCUGGUGUAGAGAUGAAAUUCUGUCAUACUGGCACAGGUAUAGGCGAAAGCAUCCCCUUAUGUGAUAACUGACGUUGAAGGACGAAGGCUUUGUGUCGCGAACAGGAUUAGAUACCCCAGUAGUCAAAGCAGAAAAUGAUGAAUGUCAUAGAUUAGAUCUAUAAAUGAAAGUGUAAGCAUUCCACCUCAAGAGUAAUUUGGCAACAUUGGAACUGAAAUCAUUAGACCGUUUCUGAAACCAGUAGUGAAGUAUGUUGUUUAAUUUGAUAUUCCGCAAAAAACCUUACCACAAUUUGAACAAGCGUUGCACGGCUGUCUUCAGUUAAUGUCGUGAGACUAUGGUUAGUUCCAUUAAAUUAACGUAAACCCUUACUUUAUUUACAGGGACUAAGACAAGUC
rnacentral:rRNA from 1 species